AUUGAACGCUGGCGGCAUGCCUUACACAUGCAAGUCGAACGGUAACAGGUCUUCGGAUGCUGACGAGUGGCGAACGGGUGAGUAAUACAUCGGAACGUGCCCGAUCGUGGGGGAUAACGAAGCGAAAGCUUUGCUAAUACCGCAUAAGAUCUACGGAUGAAAGCAGGGGACCGCAAGGCCUUGCGCGAACGGAGCGGCCGGUGGCAGAUUAGGUAGUUGGUGGGAUAAAAGCUUACCAAGCCGACGAUCUGUAGCUGGUCUGAGAGGACGACCAGCCACACUGGGACUGAGACACGGCCCAGACUCCUACGGGAGGAAGCAGUGGGGAAUUUUGAACAAUGGGCGAAAGCCUGAUCCAGCCAUGCCGCGUGCAGGAUGAAAGCCUUCGGGUUGUAAACUGCUUUUGUACGGAACGAAAAGACUCUUUCUAAUAAAGAGGGUCCAUGACGGUACCGUAAGAAUAAGCACCGGCUAACUACGUGCCAGCAGCCGCGGUAA
rnacentral:rRNA from 1 species